CCUACGGGGGGCAGCAGUGGGGAAUAUUGCACAAUGGGCGCAAGCCUGAUGCAGCCAUGCCGCGUGUGUGAAGAAGGCCUUCGGGUUGUAAAGCACUUUCAGCGGGGAGGAAGGCGUUAAGGUUAAUAACCUUGGCGAUUGACGUUACCCGCAGAAGAAGCACCGGCUAACUCCGUGCCAGCAGCCGCGGUAAUACGGAGGGUGCAAGCGUUAAUCGGAAUUACUGGGCGUAAAGCGCACGCAGGCGGUCUGUCAAGUCGGAUGUGAAAUCCCCGGGCUCAACCUGGGAACUGCAUUCGAAGCUGGCAGGCUAGAGUCUUGUAGAGGGGGGUAGAAUUCCAGGUGUAGCGGUGAAAUGCGUAGAGAUCUGGAGGAAUACCGGUGGCGAGGGCGGCCCCCUGGACAAAGACUGACGCUCAGGUGCGAAAGCGUGGGGAGCAAACAGGAUUAGAUACCCUAGUAGUC
rnacentral:rRNA from 1 species